UGGGGAAUUUUCCGCAAUGGGCGAAAGCCUGACGGAGCAAUGCCGCGUGGAGGUGGAAGGCCUACGGGUCGUCAACUUCUUUUCUCGGAGAAGAAACAAUGACGGUAUCUGAGGAAUAUGCAUCAGCUAACUCUGUGCCAU
rnacentral:rRNA from 1 species